rnacentral:rRNA from 1 species
CCUACGGGAGGCAGCAGUGGGGAAUAUUGCACAAUGGGCGAAAGCCUGAUGCAGCGACGCCGCGUGAGGGAUGACGGCCUUCGGGUUGUAAACCUCUUUCAGCAGGGAAGAAGCGAGAGUGACGGUACCUGCAGAAGAAGCGCCGGCUAACUACGUGCCAGCAGCCGCGGUAAUACGUAGGGCGCAAGCGUUGUCCGGAAUUAUUGGGCGUAAAGAGCUCGUAGGCGGCUUGUCACGUCGGGUGUGAAAGCCCGGGGCUUAACCCCGGGUCUGCAUUCGAUACGGGCUAGCUAGAGUGUGGUAGGGGAGAUCGGAAUUCCUGGUGUAGCGGUGAAAUGCGCAGAUAUCAGGAGGAACACCGGUGGCGAAGGCGGAUCUCUGGGCCAUUACUGACGCUGAGGAGCGAAAGCGUGGGGAGCGAACAGGAUUAGAUACCCUGGUAGUCCACGCCGUAAACGGUGGGAACUAGGUGUUGGCGACAUUCCACGUCGUCGGUGCCGCAGCUAACGCAUUAAGUUCCCCGCCUGGGGAGUACGGCCGCAAGGCUAAAACUCAAAUGAAUUGACGG